CGUGUAGGCGGUCCGCUAAGUCUGAUGUGAAAGCCCGGGGCUCACCCCCGGAAGGGCAUUGGAAACUGGCGGACUCGAGUCCCGGAGAGGAGGGUGGAAUUCCUGGUGUAGCGGUGAAAUGCGUAGAUAUCAGGAGGAACACCGGUGGCGAAGGCGGCCCUCUGGACGGUGACUGACGCUGAGACGCGAAAGCGUGGGGGAGAAACA
rnacentral:rRNA from 1 species